rnacentral:rRNA from 1 species
UACGGGGGGGGGCAAGCGUUGUUCGGAAUUACUGGGCGUAAAGGGCUCGUAGGCGGCCAACUAAGUCCGACGUGAAAUCCCCAGGCUUAACCUGGGAACUGCGUCGGAUACUGGUUGGCUUGAAUCCGGGAGAGGGAUGCGGAAUUCCAGGUGUAGCGGUGAAAUGCGUAGAUAUCUGGAGGAACACCGGUGGCGAAGGCGGCAUCCUGGACCGGCAUUGACGCUGAACAGCGAAAGCCAGGGGAGCAAACGGG